AGAGUUUGAUCCUGGCUCAGAACGAACGCUGGCGGCAUGCCUAACACAUGCAAGUCGAACGGGAUCCAGGCUUCGGCCUGGUGAGAGUGGCGGACGGGUGAGUAACACGUGGGAACCUGCCUUUUGGUUCGGGAUAACCGCGGGAAACUGCGGCUAAUACCGAAUGCUCCCGAGAGGGGAAAGAUUUAUCGCCAGAAGAGGGGCCCGCGUCCGAUUAGGUAGUUGGUGGGGUAAUGGCCUACCAAGCCGACGAUCGGUAGCUGGUCUGAGAGGAUGAUCAGCCACACUGGGACUGAGAUACGGCCCAGACUCCUACGGGAGGCAGCAGUGGGGAAUAUUGGACAAUGGGGGCAACCCUGAUCCAGCAAUGCCGCGUGAGUGAUGAAGGCCUCAGGGUUGUAAAGCUCUUUUGCCAGGGAAGAUGAUGACUGUACCUGGAGAAUAAGCCCCGGCUAACUUCGUGCCAGCAGCCGCGGUAAUA
rnacentral:rRNA from 1 species